UACGAAGGGGGCUAGCGUUGUUCGGAAUUACUGGGCGUAAAGCGCGUGUAGGCGGGUCUUUAAGUCAGGGGUGAAAUGCCAAGGCUCAACCUUGGAACUGCCUUUGAUACUGGAGAUCUUGAGUCCGGGAGAGGUGGGUGGAACUCCUGGUGGAGUGGUGAAAUGCGUAGAGAUCAGGAAGAACACCCGUGGCGAAGGCGGUUCUCUGGGACGGUACUGACGCUGAGACGCGAAAGCGUGGGGAGCGAACAGG
rnacentral:rRNA from 1 species